CUUUCUUGCUGCGUCCAGCUACCUUUCUUCUAUUCUGAACUCGUUGAACUUCAUUAAAACAUUCUAAAUACAACUACACUACAAGCUAACCAUUUGCUAGUGCUGCUGCCUUUCUAGUCCCUAACUCAGUUAUGUUAUUGUGAGCCGUCAGAGAAGUUUUUGACUUGAAUACUGGCAUUUGGUGUAUUGCAUAUGCGCAGCAACAACUCAGUCUCUGACUUUAGUUCAGCAAUUCGACUGCAGUUUCUUUGAAAUGUCUGUCUCUUCUAGCGAUAAUGAUUAAUCAAUUAAUCAGUGUCAUUUUCAAGUAAUCAAUUCUGGCAUUUCUAUUUUUAUGUGCUGCAUCCAAUCUGAAUGACAGGACUUGAGAGGGGCAGUGGAGUACAAGUCCCUACAGUUCGUUGCGAUAGUCAUGUGUUUAUUUUAAUUCAUGGCAAUUUAAAUCACAAACUGAACCACCUUUUUAAAUGAGUUAUGUAUCCUGAAAGUUUCAGUUGGAAGUUUUGUGGCAUGGAAAUUGCAAUAAUUACUUUCUUUUAAAGUUGGUGAUAUUUUUUCGUUUAAAUCUCAUACAUACCUUUGCAACUAGCACUUUGGAUGAAACUAGUUAGCAAAGCUAGCUACAUAGAACUUUGUCUAAUUAACUGUAAUGUUUUUCCUUGCGUGACUUUUUAGAGACUAACUGUGAUCACUUGGUUAUUAUUUUAGGAGCAGCUCGGCUUAGUGACGCAGCAUCAGUAGCUUAUGCCCAGGUGUCUCACCAAGUUUGGGCCAUAAAGGAACCCAUUUGCUGCUGGGAUUUACGCACUUGGCAUCAAAGUCCCAGCUGUUGAAAAAAUUGAAUAUAGAUGAUCAUGAUGACCUGCUUGUUGACAACAUCUACAUGGCUAAUGGAGGUGAUGCCAUUCCUCGGCCUGAUCCGCACAACCAAAUGUCAAUAUUUAGUAUUGUUUUUACUACAUAUCUAUUUUGUUUAAUUGAACCUGCUGUACAGUCAAUGCUUUAGCAAAUGAUUUACCACAACAUGUAAAUUUUGAGGUGCUUCUCAAUGUAAAUACGAGAUAUUGUAUUUGAUUUGAUGCUGUGGGAAAUGGUCUUACAAUUUUGGUAUGUAUUCUGGGCAGUAAUGACUAUUCUAAUAAAAGGGU